rnacentral:pre_miRNA from 13 species
UGCCUACUUCUGUGUGAUAUGUUUGAUAUUGGGUUGUUUAAUUAGGAACCAACUAAAUGUCAGACAUAUUCUUAUAGCAGUAGGC